rnacentral:lncRNA from 1 species
UUUUUCCUCAUGCUCAAGUAAACGGGAUAACUCAUCAGACACGUCUUCAUCAUCAUUAUCUUCCUCAGCUUCAAACACAGGGAUGUCAAAGUUUGGAGAAGGAAUAGGAUCAUUACAUUCAAUGGCUUUGAGAACCAACUUGCAUAAUGAUUUGAUAUUUUGAUUUUAGAGAAAUGGAGUGAAAACAAAUAUUAUACAGAUAUGGGAAAAAUUAUUGCUUAUUUGUGUUUUUUG